rnacentral:rRNA from 1 species
GAUUAACGCUGGCGGCGUGCAUAACACAUGCAAGUCGAACGAUGAAACUUAACUGAUUUCUUCGGAAUGAUUUUAAGUGGCUUAGUGGCGGACGGGUGAGUAACGCGUGAGUAACCUGCCUUGGAGAAGGGGAUAGCCUUUGGAAACGAAGAAUAAUACCCUAUGAUAUGAUAAUAUCUCAUGAUAUUAUCAUCAAAGAUUUAUCGCUCUAAGAUGGACUUGCGUCUGAUUAGUUAGUUGGUGAGGUAACAGCUCACCAAGGCAGCGAUCAGUAGCCGGCUUGAGAGAGUGUACGGCCACAUUGGGACUGAGACACGGCCCAGACUCCUACGGGAGGCAGCAGUGGGGAAUUUUGCACAAUGGGGGAAACCCUGAUGCAGCGACGCCGCGUGAUUUAGAAGGCCUUCGGGUUGUAAAAAUCUUUUGUAUGGGAAGAAAAUGACAGUACCAUACGAAUAAGGACCGGCUAAUUACGUG